GAUGAAGAACGCAGCGAAAUGCGAUAAGUAAUGUGAAUUGCAGAAUUCAGUGAAUCAUCGAAUCUUUGAACGCACAUUGCGCCCGCCAGUAUUCUGGCGGGCAUGCCUGUUCGAGCGUCAUUUCAACCAUCAAGCCCCAGCGCUUGUGUUGGGGGCCUGCGGCUGCCGCAGCCCCCUAAAAGCAGUGGCGGGCUCGCUAUCACACCGAGUGCAGUAGUUCAUCUUCUCUCGGGUCUUGUGAGGCGGGUUCCGGCCGUGAAACACCCCACUACAUUCAAGGUUGACCUCGGAUCAGGUAGGAAUACCCGCUGAACUUAAGCAUAUCAAUAAGCGGAGGA
rnacentral:misc_RNA from 1 species